rnacentral:lncRNA from 1 species
GGUUAUUUGGAUCUAAUUCACACAAAGUAGUCCAGUUCUCUAGCCACCACCUGUAAUGGGUGUGUCAUCCAGAGACUGUGUCCCCACGAUGACAUCCACAGGAAGUAACAGAGGGCUCAACCUAGGACUUCUUUUGGUACAAAGCCCCAAAUCAAUUUUUUUAAAAAAUAGACAAUUUUUAUAAGUAGACAUACUUCCUAGUACUCCAUGAUUUGAUCCUCCAAGCAAGAUUUCCACUAAAAAAUACUAAUCUUUUGUUGGGAUGUGGAAAGAUUACCUAGUCACCAGUAAAGGCCCAGGAAAAGGCUCUUCUUGUCAGCACAUGGUGAAAACAUUCCAUCCCCACUGGAGAAGGAAAAAACGAUUUUGGCAAAUUCUUCACUUUUGUGCAGAACCUUGAGUUAUUAGCUUCAUUGUUUCCAAGACAACUUUUAACUGAUGAUCUUUGGAAAUUGAGUUUCUCAGUUGAACUGUACCUUUGAUUCUAUGAGUAAAUCACAGAUUACAGUCUAAUAGAGUCAAUCAAUCAACACAAACCCAACAGGCCCCAUCAUGCUUCAAUCAUAAACAUCUUGGAGCUUGUCAAGCUUUACUGGAGGUGAUUUGCAGUUAAUUAAUUCAACAGACACUUUAAUCUUGCAAAUUCUUGACUUGUAAUAUUGUAACCAAGCUCCUGCAAGGGAACAUUAAUCAGUUAGUGAAAAAGGAGCACUUCCGUUCAGCCGUAGUACCAUGACGUGCACAGGCCUGAAGAGAAAUACCUCUGUGAAGUGGAGCGCUAGUGAAUUCCUGCUACCUGCUUCUUAUGGCUCACGCUAUGAAUAUUCACCUGCUUCAUUUGUUUUUUCCAGUAAACGCUGUUUUG